GCCGGAUAGCUCAGUCGGUAGAGUGUUGGAGUACAAUUCUAACACUCGCUGGUUCGAAUCGCAGCUGAUGUCA